CAGUCGCCACGGGAAUACGAGGGGGGCAAGCGUUGUUCGGAAUUAUUGGGCGUAAAGGGUGCGUAGGCGGCUUGACAAGUCUUGUGUGAAAUCUAUGGGCUCAACCCAUAGUCUGCACGGGAAACUGUCGGGCUUGAGAAUGGGAGAGGUGAGUGGAAUUUCCGGUGUAGCGGUGAAAUGCAUAGAUAUCGGGAAGAACACCAAUGGCGAAAGCACCCUGCUGGGCCGAUAUUGACACUGACAGACGAAAGCUAGGGGAGCAAAUGGGAUUAGAUACCCCUGUAGUCCCUGUCUCUUAUAC
rnacentral:rRNA from 1 species